UACGUAGGGUGCAAGCGUUAGUCGGAAUUACUGGGCGUAAAGCGUGCGCAGGCGGUGAUGUAAGACAGAUGUGAAAUCCCCGGGCUCAACCUGGGACCUGCAUUUGUGACUGCAUCGCUAGAGUACGGUAGAGGGGGAUGGAAUUCCGCGUGUAGCAGUGAAAUGCGUAGAUAUGCGGAGGAACACCGAUGGCGAAGGCAAUCCCCUGGACCUGUACUGACGCUCAUGCACGAAGGCGUGGGGAGCAAACAGG
rnacentral:rRNA from 1 species